UCAUUUUAGUAGAAGUAGUUAAAUUUUUUGUAAUUUAUUUUUGUUCAUGCAGAAUGUUUGUAACUCUUAAAAUAUUUUCUUAAUGUGAAGCACAAUGUAUGUGACUUUGCAGGCUACCACUUCUUCAACAAUCUUCAUAUAGAAAAUACGUAAUGAAGAUCACUUUCCAUCUAAGUUAUCUUUGCAUUCCAUACUCAUUCCGACAUUGGAAGAGCGUGAACAAGAGUAUGUGAAAUGUUUUGAAUUUGAAGCUCAAUCGGAUGAUGCCUUACAAGAUAAUAUGAAUGAUUGGGAGAAAGAUGAAGAUCAUGAGGAAGCUGAGGCUUAUGCUGUAGCAGCAGCAGCAACAAUGAAAGGUGGAAAAGAAGGUGAUAGUUCUAAAUUACCUUCAUUCAAGGAAUUGCUUAUGAUGUUCAUCAACUUUAAAGAAAAGAUAAAAGCAAAUUUUAAUGAAGUCAAAACAGAAUUGAAAGAAAUAGGAAGCAAGAUUGAUG